UCCGGCCAUCAGCGGUCUAAAGCGCUGCAUUAGGUUAGCACCCUGGAGGCGUGGGUUCGAAUCCCACUUCUGGACA